UUUCCUUGUCGGGAAUCGAACUCAGAUCUUCUGGGUGAAAGCCAGAUUUCCUAGACACUAGACCACAUGGGA
rnacentral:tRNA from 1 species